rnacentral:miRNA from 1 species
AGGACUUAGCUCGCUUUGUGAAC